UGUAACAACUCACCUGCC
rnacentral:ncRNA from 2 species